rnacentral:rRNA from 1 species
CCUACGGGUGGCAGCAGUGGGGAAUAUUGGACAAUGGGCGAAACCCUGAUCCAGCGACGCCGCGUGAGUGAAGAAGGAUUUCGGUACGUAAAGCUCUAUCAGCAGGGAAGAAAAUGACAGUACCUGACCAAGAAUCCACGGCUAACUACGUGCCAGCAGCCGCGGUAAUACGUCGGGGGCACGCGUUAUCCGGAUUUACGGGGUGUAAAGGGAGCGUAGACGGUUAUGUAAGUCUGGAGUGAAAGCCCGGGGCCCAACCGCGGGACUGCUUUGGAAACUGUGUAACUGGAGUGCAGGAGGGGCAGGCGGAAUUCGUGGUGUAGCGGUGAAAUGCGUAGAUAUCAGGAGGAACACCGGCGGCGAAGGCGGCCUGCUGGACUGAAACUGACGCUGAGGCUCGAAAGCGUGGGGAGCAAACAGGAUUAGAUACCCCAGUAGUC